UAGGAUGCAUCUGAGUUUGGUGGAUUAAUUUUUUUUUAUUCCUUAUACUUUGUUAGUAGUUGGUUCAUUGAUAUUGGCCUAUUGGGGCAUAAAUAGCGAGGCUGGCAUUCGUGGUGUUCAAUAUGGGAACGUGUCCAAGUAUGGGAUUUAGCUUCUUCUUCAUGACAAAUAUUACUCAUUAUUUAUUCUAAAGUUGUAACUUUUUAUUCAUAUCUAUGUCAAGAUGUAUAUUAUCAGACAUGAAUACUUGAGGGUAGAUUAUGAGUCUAGUAAUGUAGCUGGCACUUACCUGACUAGGAUCAUGGAUUUAAUUAGAAAUCUAUCCAACCUAAUAAUGUGACACUAUACUGGAUUAUUAUUAGUUUUCAGAAUAUCAAGUCUAGGUUCAUGCUGCGGCUGUUCGCCUUCUUUUAGGUGUUUUUUUUUUUUGGGUGGAAUGGGCCUUUGGGGGAGGGUGCUUUUAUGAGCUAUAAGGCUCUCCUGUGGGGUGCAACAAAUGUUACCUAUCCUACCACUUAAUUUUCUUUUGUCACUAUACUUAUUCAAUUGUUGAUGACCAAGAUGAACUCUAAUGAUUCAGAAGCUUAUAUAUAUUUCUUCGCUAAUCCCUGCUUUUUCUUAAGAUACUUGUUCUGUUGUUUACGCAGUUUUUGUAUCCUUUUCUAGAUUAUUAUCUGUUUCCAUUUCCUUGCUAGGUGGGCAGAACAUAGUGAAAUCAUAGAAUAUAAUGAAUUCAAACAUGGUUCCCAUUUACUGUAAAGCAUGCACCGCCCCAAGUGAAUCCCAAAUAAAGUUGGACAAUAGGAAGGCACCCUCUGUAGGAGCAACUAAAGCAUGCAUACCUAAAUACGGGCAUGCUGCUAGGGUGUCGGAUUAGUGUAGGAGGCUUGAGAUUUGUCUUAAUUCCUGUAUAUACUGCUGAAAUUUGGAUUUUCAUGAUCCAUUAUAACCUGAUUUGCUAUUGCACUUGCAAGACAAUGCUCUUUAAUAUUACAGCCUUGAUGUAGCCUUUAUCAUCACCAUGUUAUCGGAUCUACUAUGGAGGAUGGCUAAUCAUUCAUGUUUUUUGUUGCUUCAUUGUAUUAAUUGAUGGUCCUGGCAACACCAUGCACACAUAUAUGUAGAUGUUCAUUACUUUGUCACCAUCUAGUUAAUAGCUAUUAUAUUUGGUUGAAGUUAUUCUAUGUGUUAUUGUUAUGUCGAUUGUUGGCAACAAUGAUGCUUUCUGAACUCUCAGUUAUCGUACUGGUGUGCUAUAGAUUGCUAAUGGAUUGGAGGAUCGUAUUUGAAACUCUUUAGAGUCUAGUAAUGGCAUAGUGUUAGGACUGAUUCAAAAUUAUCUACUGGAUAUUCGAUGACUGGAUUAUCUUGAUAUCCUGCUUCAGGGCUCAUUUGUGCCGCUAGAUGUGCUGCUGCUUUUUUGAGGGGUGAUGAUGUUAUCCACAAGCUUUUUACCGAGUUGGCAUAUCGAGACAAAGGCUGAGCUGGUGGUUACACAAGAUUGCCGAGGACACGUAUUCGAGUUGGUGAUGCUGCCCCAAUGGCCUAUUUCGAGUUUAUUGAUGAAGAAACGAGCUUAGGCAGUCAAAACCUCCAACUUAGCCGCCACAUAGUGCAUCCUUGAUCCCUGGACAAAGUCAAAGCUUAGCAGGCAAUAUGCAUCUCCUAAAGAGGAGAAGACAUCAGAUUCCAAUAUUUAGUAUAUGCUGCAUUUUAUCAUGAUAGUGCAAUAUGUCGAUCUUUGGUUAUUUCGUGUUCAGCAUCAUUUUUACUCCGGUGAUUUGUAAUAUCUUUAGUCGUGACAUUUGGGGCGGGAACUAAAUUUUUUGUUAGUUAGUCAACAAUAAAUUGUUCUGCUGUCAUAUUCCUGAAUGAACCUUUUUUAUAUUUAAUUUUCUAA